CAAAACUACACUCACCCUGCUAAGCUGCCGACGGUGAUCAUGGAGAUACCUCACAUGUGCCCAUCUGACGGUGAACAACCCGGACUGAGGCUGAUGGCCUAUCUGAGCUUGAGCUGGGGAGAGACGGCUGCUCUCCCAAUUCUCCGACGGACGCAUUGCUGUCCCCCCCCCCCCUUUGGACCGGCGGGGGUUAUCCCGGUCCC